rnacentral:ncRNA from 1 species
UCUUAUCAAGAGAGGUAGAGGGACUGGCCCAAUGAAGCCUCGGCAGCGGACUUUUGUAAAAGUACUGUGCCAAUUCCAGAAGCGUAUUGCUUGAAGAUAAG